rnacentral:lncRNA from 1 species
UUUUAAGGGUGUGGACAAUCGGGCAAGUGACUGCAUGUGACAACAGAGAGAGGGCAUGGUACACGGUGGCAGAUGAGCCCGGGACUGGAGGCAGAUCUGGGUUCCAGUUCGGGCUCUACCAGCAGCACCCAUGUGUCCUUCUGUUCUCUGGGCCUCAAUUUCCUGUUGUAAAAUUCAGAACUUGGAAGAGAACUACAGAAAGGGACAGAGCUGUUUAUGUCAUGAAAAGCAGGCCUGAGCAUUAGAAGACUGAGAAACACCUGGGAGGAUCUUGUUUCAACAGAGCUCAAAGCCGUGGCAAAAGGACGGAGCUCGAAUUGUGCAAUUGUGAGUGACUCGAAGCUG